UGGUGGAGUGAUUUGUCUGCUUCAUUGCGAUAACGAACGAGACCUCGGCCUACUAACUAGUGACACGAAUCCUAGAUUCAUGGCCUACUUCUUAGAGGGACAAUAUGUGAUAAACAUAUGGAAGUUCGAGGCAAUAACA
rnacentral:rRNA from 1 species